GUUACAGGUCUAAGAAUCUGAUAUGUCAUUCUUAAAAGCCCAGUGGCCCAGCUGCCUCCUUCCUAUCAGGUUUUACUAGUGCUCUGAUGGGCAAAAGGGCUCUGUUACAUGCUGUGACAUCCCAGGUCUGUAACCCUUGGCGAGCCCAGGGAGGAUGCGUGGCUGGCAUCACAUAGCCAGUCUCCAUGGGAAGUGACUGCUGGGAGUGUGGUAUCUGUGGCUCUGAUCUGACUUUCAAGCUGA
ensembl:snoRNA small Cajal body-specific RNA 6